AUUGAACGCUGGCGGCAGGCCUAACACAUGCAAGUCGAGCGAGCGGCGGACGGGUGUGUAAUGUAUAGGGACUGCCCGAUAGAGGAGGAUAACUACUGGAAACGGUAUCUAAUAACGCACACUAUCGGAUAACCCUUAUAGGAUUAGCUAGUCGGUGAGGUAAUGGCGCACCUAGGCGACGAUCCCUACCUGGUCUGAGAGGAUGAUCAGCCACGCGGGGACUGUGACAAGGACCAUACUCCUAGGGCGGCAGCAGUGGGGAAUAUUGCGCAAUGUGCGCAAUCCUGAUGCAGCCAUGCCGCGUGUACAAAGAAGGCCCUAGGGUUGUAAAGUACUUUCAGUCGGGAGGCGUUACCGAAAGAAGAAGCGCCGGCUAACGCCGUGCGAGCCGCCGCGGUAAUAC
rnacentral:rRNA from 1 species